rnacentral:rRNA from 1 species
UACGGGGGGGGCAAGCGUUGUUCGGAAUUACUGGGCGUAAAGGGCUUGUAGGUGGCCAACUAAGUCAUACGUGAAAUCCCUCGGCUUAACCGGGGAACUGCGUCUGAUACUGGAUGGCUUGAGUUCGGGAGAGGGAUGCGGAAUUCCAGGUGUAGCGGUGAAAUGCGUAGAUAUCUGGAGGAACACCGGUGGCGAAGGCGGCAUCCUGGACCGAUACUGACGCUGAGGAGCGAAAGCCAGGGGAGCAAACGGG